GCCGCGAGGCAGAGAAGUCCAGGAUGGCGGGACUCUGCUAACAUCUGCUGGAGAAAAGCUUGAACGACACGGGGACGACGUGGAGACGAGUUAUUGCGACCCUCGAAGCCAAUGGUCUGUCUUGUUUGAGACCACCAAAGGAAGUUGGAGAGGAGGGAUGGAUUUGGUGCUGAGAUGGACGUAUUUCCCACAGUCCUCGGUGCAAGAAAUUGCUGAGAUCAGCUGAACGGUGCACCUGGCAUGUUCUCCCUGGUCUGAUACAAAGACAUGCAAUCAACACAAAGAGAAAAAAAAACAGCAAUGUAUUUACAAUUUACAAAGAAUCACUUCUCUGUCAAAAUAGCACUUAUAAAUAUGAUUUACAUAACAAAAUAAAUAUGUAAAUUACCAAU